rfam:Ciona savignyi cont_62032, whole genome shotgun sequence.
UCCUACAUGGUUCUAGUGUGUUAGGAUUCCUGGCUUUCACCCAGGCGGCCCGGGUUCGAUUCCCGGUGUAGGAA